rnacentral:rRNA from 1 species
GAGAGAGAGACAUGCGCGCAUAUCAAUAAGCGGAGGAAAAGAAACUAACAAGGAUUCCCCUAGUAACGGCGAGUGAAGCGGGAAGAGCUCAAAUUUGAAAUCUUAAAGGGUUUCCCUUUACGAAUUGUAGUUUAAAGAAGUGUUUUCUGUUGAGGUUUUGGUAAAAGUUCUUUGGAAUAGGACAUCAUAGAGGGUGAGAAUCCCGUAUUUGACCUUUACUUUCAACUUUGUGAUACACUUUCAAAGAGUCGGAUUGUUUGGGAAUGCAGUCCAAAAUGGGUGGUAAAUUUCAUCUAAAGCUAAAUAUUGGCGAGAGACCGAUAGCGAACAAGUACCGUGAGGGAAAGAUGGAAAGAACUUUGAAAAGAGAGUUAAACAGUACGUGAAAUUGUCAAAAGGGAAGCGUUUGACACCAGUGUUGUUCUUCUGAAAAUCAAUUAAAGAACUGUUUAUGCUAAGUUGUUUAGACUUUAUCAGCUAACUGUUUAGUUUUGAGCUUUUCUUUAAUGCACUUUUCAGUUAACAAGUCAACAUCAAUUUCUUUUGCUGUAAAAAAGCUUGAGGAAGGUGGCUUGAGAUUCGUCUUAAGUGUUUAUAGCCUCUUGCCUAUGCAGUCGGAGAGAUUGAGGUCUGCAGCGUAGAUCCUUCGGGGCUAAAUGCAUUUGUGCUAAGUUAUAGCAUUUUAUAGACAACUUGUUGACUAUGAUUUGUCUUGUAGCUUACUCGCUUAUGUUAUUUUACCUACGCUUAGGAUGUUGAGCGCAUGUCUCUCUCU